rnacentral:rRNA from 1 species
UGCGUGACUCCAAUUGAACCGCAGGCUUCACCCCUUGUGGUGCUCCCCCGCCAAUCCUUUAAUUUCAUACUUGCGUACGUACUUCCCAGGCGGCAGACUUAACGGCUUCCCUGCGGCACUGCAUUGGCCACAAGCCAAUGCAUCACCGAGUCUGCAUCGUUUACAGCUGGGACUACCCGGGUAUCUAAUCCGGUUUGCUCCCCCAGCUUUCAUCCCUCACCGUCGAACGUGUUCUGGUACACCGCCUUCGCCACAGGUGGUCUUCAAUAGAUCAAAGGAUUUUACCCCUUCCUAUCGAGUACCGUGUACCUCUCCCACUCCCUAGCUGCACAGUAUUUUCGGCGGCCUAUACGUUAAGCGCAUAGAUUUAACCGAAAACUUAUGCAACCGGCUACGGAUGCUUUAGGCCCAAUAAACCUCCUGACCACUCGAGGUGCUGGUUUUACCGCGGCGGCUGACACCAGAACUUGCCCACCCCUUAUUCACCAGUGAUUCUACAACUGACAAAAGACUCCUUUAGCAGGAGACACUCGGAUUAACCUUGUCGUGCUUUCGCACAUUGCAAAGGUUUCUCGCCUGCUGCGCCCAUAGGGCCUGGGUCCGUGUCUCAGUACCAUCUCCGGGNCCCUUCUCUCAGAGCCCGUA